AAAAGCUCAGAUUUGAAAUCUCUUUAUUUUAUGAAGCGAAUUGUAAUCUGUAGAAGGUUGAAUGAUUUUUUAUUUUUAAAUUAAAUUCUUUGGAAUAAGAUAUCAUAGAGGGUGAGAAUCCCGUGAUUUUUUAAAAAAAUUAAAUCAAUUAAUUCACCUUUCGACGAGUCGAGUUGUUUGGGAAUGCAGCUCUAAAUGGGUGGUAAAUUUCAUCUAAAGCUAAAUACCUGCCAAAGACCGAUAGCGAACAAGUAGAGUGAUCGAAAGAUGAAAAGCACUUUGAAAAGAGAGUUAAAAAGUACGUGAAAUUGUUGAAAGGGAAGCGCUUGCUAUUAGACUUGAUAAAUUAAAUUCAAUUAAUUUACGAAUUCAAUUUAUUUUUAUUUUAUCAGGCCAGCAUCAGUUUAUUAAAAUUUAUAAAAUUAAAUGUAAUGUAGGAAUUAUUUCGGUAAUUCUGUUAUAGACAUUUAAAUAAUAAAUUUAUAUUAGACUGAGGUCUGCCCCCUUGUGGGAAGGAUGCUGGCAUAAUGAUAGUAAGCGACCCGUCUUGAAACACGGACCAAGGAGUCGACCUAUAAAGCGAGUGUUUGGGUGCAAAACCCACACGCGUAAUGAAAGUGAACGUAGGUGCGAAGUUUCGACUGCAGCAUCGACCGAUCUUGAAGUUUACGGAUGGAUUUGAGUAUGAGCUCUAUAGGGCGGACCCGAAAGAUGGUGAUCUAUGCGUGAAUAGGGUGAAGUCAGAGGAAACUUUGAUGGAGGCUCGCAGCGGUUCUGACGGGCAAAUCGAUCGUCAAAU
rnacentral:rRNA from 1 species